CUACGGAGGGGGCUAGCGUUGUUCGGAAUUACUGGGCGUAAAGCGCGCGUAGGCGGAUUGAUCAGUCAGGGGUGAAAUCCCGAGGCUUAACCUCGGAACUGCCUUUGAUACUGUCAAUCUUGAGUUCGAGAGAGGUGGGUGGAAUUCCUAGUGUAGAGGUGAAAUUCGUAGAUAUUAGGAAGAACACCAGUGGCGAAGGCGGCUCACUGGCUCGAUACUGACGCUGAGGUGCGAAAGCGUGGGGAGCAAACAGGAUUAGAAACCCCAGUAGUCC
rnacentral:rRNA from 1 species